GAUAGAGGGGGCAAGCGUUGCUCGGAAUCACUGGGCGUAAAGGGCGCGUAGGCGGGAAGCCAAGUCGGUCGUGAAAUCUCCGGGCUCAACCCGGAGGAGUCGGCCGAAACUGGUUUUCUUGAGGGAGGCAGAGGAGUCUGGAAUUCCCGGUGUAGCGGUGAAAUGUGUAGAGAUCGGGAGGAACACCGGUGGCGAAGGCGGGACUCUGGGCCUACCCUGACGCUGAGGCGCGAAGGCGUGGGGAGCAAACGGG
rnacentral:rRNA from 1 species